rnacentral:rRNA from 1 species
AUUGAACGCUGGCGGCAUGCCUUACACAUGCAAGUCGAACGGUAACAGGUCUUCGGAUGCUGACGAGUGGCGAACGGGUGAGCAAUACAUCGGAACGUGCCUAGUAGUGGGGGAUAACUACUCGAAAGAGUGGCUAAUACCGCAUGAGAUCUACGGAUGAAAGCAGGGGAUCGCAAGACCUUGUGCUACUAGAGCGGCCGAUGGCAGAUUAGGUAGUUGGUGGGAUAAAAGCUUACCAAGCCGACGAUCUGUAGCUGGUCUUAGAGGACGAUCAGCCACACUGGAACUGAGACACGGCCCAGACUCCUACGGGAUGCAGCAGUGGGGAAUUUUGGACAAUGGGCGAAAGCCUGAUCCAGCAAUGCCGCGUGCAGGAUGAAGGCCUUCGGGUUGUAAACUGCUUUUGUACGGAACGAAAAGCCCCGGGUUAAUACCCUGGGGUCAUGACGGUACCGUAAGAAUAAGCACCGGCUAACUACGUGCCAGCCGCCGCCGUAA